AUAGAACGCUGGCGGCAGGCCUAACAAAUGCAAGUCGAACGAGUGGCGGACGUGUUAGUAAUGUCUGGGAAACUGCCUGAUGGAGGGGGAUAACUACUGGAAACGGUAGCUAAUACCGCAUACCCUCAGAUGUGCCCAGAUGGGAUUAGCUAGUUGGUGGGGUAACGGCUCACCAAGGCGACGAUCCCUAGCUGGUCUGAGAGGAUGACCGGACACACUGGAAAUGAGACAAGGUCAAGAAUCCUACGGGAGGGAGCAGUGGGGAAUAUUGAACAAUGGGCGCAAGCCUGAUGAAGCCAUGCCGGGUGUAUGAAGAGGGACUUCGGGUUGUAAAGUACUUUCAGCGGGGAGGCGUUACCCGCAGAAGAAGCACCGGCUAACUCCGUGCCAGCAGCCGCGGUAAUAC
rnacentral:rRNA from 1 species